rnacentral:lncRNA from 1 species
AGGUCCCCGCGCUGGGCGGAAGGAGGAUGGGUGUUUAGGACCCGUGAGCGGCUUGGUGGGGCGGAUACUCUCCGCUCCUGGGCGAGGUUUCCUGUUCCCUGCCGCCGGCUCCGGCCCUGGACCCAUGCGCGCUGGGGCGGGGGUGUUAUUUCGGGUGCCCUGGGGCCUUGGGGCCGUGAGGAUGGGGGCUCUGGGGCCCAGAGGCCGUGGGGUCUGGGGCUCUGGGGCCGGGGUACCAUGGGAUCGGGUGCUCUGGGGGCUGGAGGCCGUGGGGUCGGGGGCUCUGGAGCCCAGGGCACCGACAAGGCCCUGGGAUGAGUCACAUGGCUUUUCUAAGCCCUGGUCCUGGGGGUCACGCUCCCUGUCUCGCUUCCCUCGGAAGGUUUCCUGAGUGUAAGUCAGAAAGCUUAGUAAGUCGUGAAGCUCCUCGUGGUGAUGGAUCUUGGGGUCCUGGGACCCCCAUGGGAGAAAAGUGUUGAGGGGAGGUGGUGGGGACCCAGUUCUUUGAUGCCAGUCAGUUGGAUGCCGGGUGACUUGGCUAGGUAGUUCCUCUUUGGCGUCGGUUUUCUUCUAUUUUCUUUUUGCUUUUUUUAUUUGUAUUUUUAGGGCCACACCUGCAGCUUAUGGCGGUUCUCAUGCCAGGGGUGGAAUCGGAGCUGUAGCCUCCAGCCUACGCUGCUGCCUCAGCAACGCCAGAUCUGAGCCGCGUCUGCAAUCAAACCACAGCUCUUGGCAAGACUGGAUCCUUAACCCACUGAGCGAGGCCAGGGAUAGAACCUGCAUCCUCGUAGAUACUAGUCAGAUUCCUUUCCUCUGAGCCACAACGGGAACGCUUGGCCUCGGUUUUCCACCUGCGGUUCCAUUAGGAGCUUUCCAGCUCUUUUAGCUCAGCCUCCAAAGUUCGGCCUCAGUCAAGGGGCCAGCUUGCAAAGGCACUGACUUAGGGACCAGAGCUCCAUUUCUACUCUGGGGCCAAAAUCUCUGGGGGUGAGAUAGUCAUUUGCCUUUGCGGGCCAUGUUCCUUCUCCAUAAAAUAAUGACACGCCUUUCUGCUAGUAAGGUUGAACUGAGAUAAGGUAUAUAAUAAACGUUAAUAGGUUUUAAAAGAUUAAGCCACAGGUGGUUUCCUCUCUAGGGGCCUUCCCUCUUCUGAUUUCUCUGGCUGGGUCACCCUUCUGGCUUUUCAUGUGACAGGCUCUUCAUCCAGAUCCAGCUGUUAACUCAGACUGGCUGUAGCUGUCUACGCUAUAUAGAGUUUUCCUUCACUGUUUCUCUCUGCCUUUGCAGCACUCCCCAGCACCCCUGUUACACACUGCGAGUAGCCCCUCGUUAGGAUUAGCUUCAGGGGAGCAGGGUUUUGUUGGGAUCACCCGAGCAUCCCCAGUGUCUAGAAAAGCCUGGCACACAAUGGGCCAAAUACUGAUCCAUAUCUGUAGAAUAAGUGGCCCAGGAGCUGAGCAUGACCAGGCAAAUGUCUUCCACCGAGGAGAUCUGCUGUACCUCCCUUGGUUACUUGAUAAGCCCCCCUCUUGGUUACUCCUGAACAUGUGCUGAUCUUGGGGUUGCUAGGCUCACCUGGCAAUUUCCUUGGUUUCCGGAAGUGGGAUAAGGCCCUGAGUUAACUCCCAGUCCUCUUCUCUUUCUGAGUCUCAGUUUUCUCAUCUGUAAAAUGAGGAUAGUUCAGCAUUCUCUGCUUCAGAAGGCUGUUGGAGAUCUUGAAUCUAAUUAUGUAUGCCAGGGUGUCUAGUGAUCUACCCCAACUGUGUUUCUAGGGGGUUCCCCUGUGGCACAGCAGGUUCAAUAUCUGGCAUUGUCACUACAGUGGCUCAAGUCACUGCUGUGGCUUGAGUUUGAUCCCUGGCCUGGGAACUUCCAUGUGCCAUGAGCAUGGCCCAAAAGAAAAACAAAAUUGUUUUUUUAGACCAUAGCAAUGGAAGGAUAUAGGAUGGAGUAAGUCUAAUCUGGUGGAUAGAUGACCAGCUGAGAGGGUAUAUAAGCAGCCAGGGAGAGGGUGGGAGCCAGGCCAAGGGUGGGCUGAUCUCUAAGUAGAGGCCUGGGGUGAGAUAAAGCAGAGCAUUUUCAAGGAGUCAGAUUCAGUUCAGUGGCUGGAGCACAGAAGUAGCAGAGGAGGGGAGUGGUAGCAAGAAUUAAGGCUGGAAAGCACAGUUCCUUCUUUGGCUCAGCAGUGACACUGACUACUGUCCAUGAGGAUGCCAUUCAAUCCCAGGCCUUGCUCAGUGGGUUAAGAAUCUGGCUUUGCUAUGACCUACAAUGUAGGUCGCAGACACAGCUUGGAUGCGCUGUGGCUGUGGCUGUGGCCGGCAGCUACAGCUCCCGUUCAACCCCCUAGCCUGGGAACUUGCAUAUACUGCAGGUGCAGCCCUAAGAAAACCAAAAACAAAAAAACAAAAAAACAAAAAAAACAAAACCUGGGAGGCAGGCAGGGCAAAAUCAUGUAGACUUUGGGGAGGAGUGUGGACUUGCUUCUAAGGGCAGUGGGAGCCAUGGAAGCUUGGUUGUUGGGAGGAGUAGGAGGUGGGGGAGGGGGAAUCAGGUGUUGGGCUAGCUCAGUGAUUUUUGAACUGUGGGUUGCAGUCUAGUAGUGGUUAUAAAAUCAAUUUAGAGGCUCAUAAACAGCACAAAAACAUGAAGAGAAAAUAGACUGGUUCUUUGCAUUCUGAGAUGAAUUUUAGGGUUAGCUUGUCAAAUUGUUGUCUGAAACCUUCAAGUGUUUUGGGUGGGGUUACUUGGGAAUAGUUGACGUCGCAGUAUUUGCCCUUCCACUCUACUAAAAUCUCAUAGUUUUCUGAUAUCCUCUGUAAAGAUCAUACACACGUUUUGUUAGAUUUAUUUUUUAUUUUUUUGAUGCCAUUAUUGUCUGUUUUAAAAUUCCACUUGCAAAUUGUUUGUUGCUAGGAAUACAAAUUUAAAAGACAUUUUGGGAGUUCCCAUUGUGGCUUGGUGGUAACAAACCCUAUGGAUAUGGGUUUGAUCCCUGGCCUCACUCAGUGGGUUAAGGAUCUAGUAUUGCUGUGAGCUGUGGUGUAGGUUGCAGACGCAGCUAGGAUCUGGCGUUGCUGUGGCUGUGUGGUGGUGUAGGAUGGCACAUGCAGCUCAGAUCAGACCCCUAGCCUGGGAACUUCCAUAUGCCACACAUGCAGCCCUAAAAAGCCAAAAAUAAAAGUAAAAAAAUUUUGUUU